GAGCAACUCCUGGGGAUAAAAAUCGGAAGGCAGCCAAGCAUGAAAGUCAUUCCUGAGAGUGAAGUAAAGAGGACGUCAUCUUCAGCCCUCACUUUAUGGCCUAUUGGUGAUUUGGCGACGCUUAUCUGCACAAAGCUGUCAGGAGAAAAAAGUUAAUAUUAUUCAGAGACUGGUGAUAAAGAUGUGACUGAUCCGGGGACAGUUUGUCUCAGUGUUGGAAAAGAGCGUCCGAGUGUAAGAGACGAGUUGCUGCUGUUAUCUGAACCGACCGAACCGAGAGCAAGGUGGAGACCAGUCCAGUCUGCAGGCAAAACCAGGGCCGUGCAGCCCAGACCGAGGUGCAACAGUGCAGCCUGGAGGCAGGGAGAGGUACUGCCUCUGGGAAUUCAACUUUCAGCUUUCCAAACAGCUAAUGUGAUGCAACAGACUCUUCUGAUUUUGUGCUGUGGAGCUGCAUCUGAUAUCUGUGAGUUACUGUGAAAUGCUUUAGGUUUAUCAUGCAGGUGCCAAGAUUUUUAAUAUGUUGCAUGUCCAAAACAAAGCUGUUCACAAUCCUCCACCCAUCGUCAUACAUUUUAGUCUGAAUUGUACUUUUUCUUCAUAAUUACCACAGAUCUUCCACCAUCUGACUCAGUGUGGGUAACAUGUACCAUCUGCUGCAGGAUAGUUUCAUUCUGUAUCACUUACUUUAGACCUUACUGCCUAAUUUCCAAUGUCAAGAUAUUAGAUAGUUGUAUAUUUUCUCAGAUAAUACCAUUAGAACAAACAUCAUGGAGUGGGAUCCCUCAGCUGUGACUCUCCCUGAAGUUUCUCUGUUUGUUUCCCCUGUUAAAAGUUAUUUUGGGAGGUUUUUUACUUGUCGAGGGUCGUGAACAGAGGAAGUCGCACCUUGUACAGAGUGUUGAGCUCCAUGAGGCAAAUUGUAGUUUGUGAAUAUGAGCUUUUCAAAUAAAGAAAUUUGAUGUAAUGAUACAAAUUUAAA